rnacentral:rRNA from 1 species
UUAUCGUUUAUUUGAUAGUACCUUACUACAUGGAUAACCGUGGUAAUUCUAGAGCUAAUACAUGCUAAAAGCCUGCGACUUCGGAAGGGGCGUAUUUAUUAGAUAAAAGACCAAUGCCCUCCGGGGCUCUCUGGUGAUUCAUAAUAACUCAACGAAUCGCAUGGCCUUUGCGCCGGCGAUGGUUCAUUCAAAUUUCUGCCCUAUCAACUUUCGAUUGUAGAGUAGUGGUCUACAAUGGUAUCAACGGGUAACGGGAAAUUAGGGUUUGAUUCCGGAGAGGGAGCCUGAGAAACGGCUACCACAUCCAAGGAAGGCAGCAGGCGCGCAAAUUACCCAAUCCCGACACGGGGAGGUAGUGACAAUAAAUACUGAUGCGGAGCUCUUUAGGGUUUCGCAAUUGGAAUGAGUACAAUUUAAAUCCCUUAACGAGGAACAAUUGGAGGGCAAGUCUGGUGCCAGCAGCCGCGGUAAUUCCAGCUCCAAUAGCGUAUAUUAAAGUUGUUGCAGUUAAAAAGCUCGUAGUUGAACCUUGGGCCUGGCUGACCGGUCCGCCUCACCGCGUGCACUGGUUCGGCCGGGCCUUUCCUUCUGGGGAGCCGCAUGCCCUUCACUGGGUGUGCCGGGGAACCAGGACUUUUACUUUGAAAAAAUUAGAGUGUUCAAAGCAGGCCUAUGCUCGAAUACAUUAGCAUGGAAUAAUAGAAUAGGACGUGUGGUUCUAUUUUGUUGGUUUCUAGGACCGCCG